ACGAACGCUGGCGGCGUGCUUAACACAUGCAAGUCGCACGCUGAAGCUUGGUGCUUGCACUGGGUGGAUGAGUGGCGAACGGGUGAGUAAUACGUGAGUAACCUGCCCUUGACUCUGGGAUAAGCCUGGGAAACUGGGUCUAAUACUGGAUACGACAUGUCACCGCAUGGUGGUGUGUGGAAAGGGUUUUACUGGUUUUGGAUGGGCUCACGGCCUAUCAGCUUGUUGGUGGGGUAAUGGCUCACCAAGGCGACGACGGGUAGCCGGCCUGAGAGGGUGACCGGCCACACUGGGACUGAGACACGGCCCAGACUCCUACGGGAGGCAGCAGUGGGGAAUAUUGCACAAUGGGCGGAAGCCUGAUGCAGCGACGCCGCGUGAGGGAUGACGGCCUUCGGGUUGUAAACCUCUUUCAGCACGGAAGAAGCGAAAGUGACGGUACGUGCAGAAGAAGCGCCGGCUAACUACGUG
rnacentral:rRNA from 1 species